UACGUAGGUCCCGAGCGUUGUCCGGAUUUAUUGGGUGUAAAGGGUGCGUAGACGGAGGAACAAGUUAGUUGUGAAAUCCCUCGGCUUAACUGAGGAACUGCAACUAAAACUAUUCCCCUUGAGUGUCGGAGAGGAAAGUGGAAUUCCUAGUGUAGCGGUGAAAUGCGUAGAUAUUAGGAGGAACACCAGUGGCGAAGGCGACUUUCUGGACGAUAACUGACGUUGAGGCACGAAAGUGUGGGAAGCAAACAGG
rnacentral:rRNA from 1 species